AUUGAACGCUGGCGGCAUGCCUUACACAUGCAAGUCGAACGGUAACAGGUCUUCGGAUGCUGACGAGUGGCGAACGGGUGAGUAAUACAUCGGAACGUGCCUAGUAGUGGGGGAUAACUACUCGAAAGAGUGGCUAAUACCGCAUGAGAUCUACGGAUGAAAGCAGGGGAUCGCAAGACCUUGUGCUACUAGAGCGGCCGAUGGCAGAUUAGGUAGUUGGUGGGAUAAAAGCUUACCAAGCCGACGAUCUGUAGCUGGUCUGAGAGGACGAUCAGCCACACGGGGACUGAGACACGGCCCAGACUCCUACGGGAGGCAGCAGUGGGGAAUUUUGGACGAUGGGCGAAAGCCUGAUCCAGCAAUGCCGCGUGCAGGAUGAAGGCCUGCGGGUUGUAAGCUGCUUUUGUACGGAACGAAAAGCCCUGGGUUAAUACCCUGGGGUCAUGACGGUACCGUAAGAAUAAGCACCGGCUAACUACGUGCCAGCCGCCGCCGUAA
rnacentral:rRNA from 1 species